AUGGAUAACCGUAGUAAUUCUAGAGCUAAUACAUGCUGUAAAACCUGACUUUUCGGAAAGGUUGUAUUUAUUAGAUAUCAAACCAAUAAUCUUUCGGGAUUAUUGUGAUGAUUCAUAAUAACUGAUCGGAUCAAGGUGUACCUUGAUAGAUCAUUCAAGUUUCUGCCCUAUCAGCUUUCGAUGGUAGUGUAUUGGACUACCAUGGCAGUCACGGGUAACGGAGAAUUAGGGUUCGAUUCCGGAGAGGGAGCCUGAGAAACGGCUACCACAUCUACGGAAGGCAGCAGGCGCGUAAAUUACCCAAUCCUGAUUCAGGGAGGUAGUGACAAGAAAUAACAACUCGGGGCCUCACGGCUUACGAGAUUGCAAUGAGAACAAUUUAAAUCUCUUAGCGAGGAACAAUUGGAGGGCAAGUCUGGUGCCAGCAGCCGCGGUAAUUCCAGCUCCAAUAGCGUAUAUUAAAGUUGU
rnacentral:rRNA from 1 species